GACGAACGCUGGCGGCGUGCUUAACACAUGCAAGUCGAACGGAAAGGCCCUGCUUUUGUGGGGUGCUCGAUUGGCGAACGGGUGAGUAACACGUGAGUAACCUGCCCUUGACUGUGUGAUAACUUCAGGAAACUGGGGCUAAUACCGGAUAGGAGCUCCUGCUGCAUGGUGGGGGUUGGAAAGUUUCGGCGGUUGGGGAUGGACUCGCGGCUUAUCAGCUUGUUGGUGGGGUAGUGGCUUACCAAGGCUUUGACGGGUAGCCGGCCUGAGAGGGUGACCGGCCACAUUGGGCCUGAGAUACGGCCCAGACUCCUACGGGAGGCAGCAGUGGGGAACAUUGCACAAUGGGCGGACGCCUGAUGCGGCAACGCCGCGUGCGGGAUGACGGCCUUCGGGUUGUAAACCGCUUUCGCCUGUGACGAAGCGUGCGUGACGGUAAUGGGUAAAGAAGCCCCGGCUAACUACGUG
rnacentral:rRNA from 1 species